GAUGAAGAACGCAGCGAAAUGCGAUACGUAAUGUUAAUUGCAGAAUUCAGUGAAUCAUCGAGUCUUUGAACGCACAUUGCGCCCCCUGGUAUUCCGGGGGGCAUGCCUGUCCGAGCGUCAUUGCUGCCCUCAAGCACGGCUUGUGUGUUGGGCCUCCGCCCCCCGGCUCCCGGGGGGCGGGCCCGAAAGGCAGCGGCGGCACCGCGUCCGGUCCUCGAGCGUAUGGGGCUUCGUCACCCGCUCCGUAGGCCCGGCCGGCGCCCGCCGGCGACCCCCCUCAAUCUUUCCAGGUUGACCUCGGAUCAGGUAGGGAUACCCGCUGAACUUAAGCAUAUCAAUAAGCGGAGGA
rnacentral:misc_RNA from 1 species